ACGAACGCUGGCGGCGUGCUUAACACAUGCAAGUCGAACGGAAAGGCCCUUCGGGGUACUCGAGUGGCGAACGGGUGAGUAACACGUGGGUGAUCUGCCCUGCACUUUGGGAUAAGCCUGGGAAACUGGGUCUAAUACCGAAUAUGACCAUGCACUUCCUGGUGUGUGGUGGAAAGCUUUUGCGGUGUGGGAUGGGCCCGCGGCCUAUCAGCUUGUUGGUGGGGUAAUGGCCUACCAAGGCGACGACGGGUAGCCGGCCUGAGAGGGUGACCGGCCACACUGGGACUGAGAUACGGCCCAGACUCCUACGGGAGGCAGCAGUGGGGAAUAUUGCACAAUGGGCGCAAGCCUGAUGCAGCGACGCCGCGUGAGGGAUGACGGCCUUCGGGUUGUAAACCUCUUUCAAUAGGGACGAAGCGCAAGUGACGGUACCUAUAGAAGAAGGACCGGCCAACUACGU
rnacentral:rRNA from 1 species